UACGGAGGAUCCGAGCGUUAUCCGGAUUUAUUGGGUUUAAAGGGUGCGCAGGCGGGGGAUUAAGUCGGCGGUGAAAUUUUGCAGCUCAACUGUAAAAGUGCCUUCGAAACUGGUUUCCUUGAGUGUAGAUGAAGUAGGCGGAAUUUGUGGUGUAGCGGUGAAAUGCAUAGAUAUCACGGGGAACUCCGAUUGCGCAGGCAGCUUACUAAACUACUACUGACGCUCAGGCACGAAGGCGUGGGGAUCAAACAGGAUUAGAUACCCUGGUAGUCCCU
rnacentral:rRNA from 1 species